AUUGAACGCUGGCGGCAGGCUUAACACAUGCAAGUCGAACGAGUGGCGGACGGGUGAGUAAUGCUUGGGAAUCUGGCUUAUGGAGGGGGAUAACGACGGGAAACUGUCGCUAAUACCGCGUACCAUAGGAUGAGCCCAAGUGGGAUUAGGUAGUUUGUGAGGUAAAGGCUCACCAAGCCGACGAUCUCUAGCUGGUCUGAGAGGAUGACCAGCCACACUGGGACUGAGACACGGCCAAGACUCCUACGGGAGGCAGCAGUGGGGAAUAUUGCGCAAUGGGGGCAACCUGACGCAGCCAUGCCGCGUGAAUGAAGAAGGCCUUCGGGUUGUAAAGUUCUUUCGGUAGCGAGGCGUUAAGAAAAGAAGAAGCAACGGCUAACUCCGUGCCAGCAGCCGCGGUAAUAG
rnacentral:rRNA from 1 species